AGUCAACCUACAUGGUCACACGCUUGAUGCAAAGCGCAUGCGCAUUUAUCGUGAGCGCAUUUGAUCAUAUCCACAGCAAAUUUGCGCUAAAUAUUAAUCUUGACGCUCACUUGGUUCGUCGUUGAGGUGGUUUUAGAUUAUUCGAAGGAACACGUUUACGACAUAUACUAUGAGUAAGAACGAAACGUUAAGGGAGACCCCGCCCCAGCACGUCUCUCCUUGAUUCUUCCUUGUAAAUAGGGUUAAAUUUGAAUUUCCAAGACAGCGACCACUUCAUUUUGAAAGAUAUUUAAAGCUGUUUGUCUGCACUCUGCAUGCGAUUAAACAGCACGAUAAUAUUUGCUUUCAUCAGCAAGCUAUUUUAGUUUACUAUAAUGAGGCUUUGUUUUUGGCCGUGAUCAAAUGAUUUCUGUUCAUAACAGUAAAACAUUGCUAGUACAUAUGUUAGUCUUUGACUUUCAUUACAUGACCCGCUUUGACUUUGUUGCUGAAACCUGAAACGCCUUGUCGGUUUGAGUUACUACGAGACGAUAGGUAUUGUUUAGCUUUCAAAUUUGGAGGAUUUACUGGAGAUUUGUUAUGCCAAAGCAUGUCCAUUUAUUAAGUUCAAUCUUGACAAACGUUCAGUUGUGUAUUCUUUGACCUCUGCCACGUAAAUCAGUGUUGGUGGAACGGAAUUUAUGUGGUAGACAAAAAGAAACUGUAAGACUAAUUAACAAUAGGCCCCGGCAGCGGUAGAUACGCUAUAUACCCACUGUCAAUAUAGACGAAAGUUUAGAAAGAUGUCAGGUUUAAUUUCAAACGAAGAACGGCCACAUAACAGUCCUGGAAGCGCCCAAACCAACCAUGGGCAUGGAUUGAUGAACGGCGACAAGCCAACUGGUGUCACUUUGAAACGAGAUGUAGGCCUCAUUGGUGGUAUAGCUAUUAUAGUUGGUACUAUGAUAGGCAGUGGUAUCUUUGCUUCACCGAAAUGGGUGUUAGAAGCUUCAGGAUCGGCAGGAAUGGCGCUCAUUGUCUGGGCAAUUUGUGGUAUUGUUGCUGUCUGUGGUGCCAUGGCCUACGCCGAAUUAGGAACAAUGAUCCCGACUUCUGGAGGCGAAUACACUUACAUGCGUGAAGCUUUUGGUGCCUUACCAGCCUUCCUGAACGCAUGGACUGGCUUUGUUGUUUUGAAACCCUCUCAAUUGGCCAUAAUAUGUCUGAUUUUCGGUGAAUAUGUAGUCACUCCUUUCUACCCCGACUGCACUAUGCGGUCUGAUAUUCAACACAUUAUAAAGCUACUAGCUGCGUUGGCCAUUGGUAAGUUUAUAUUCUCCCUUCUUUAUCUUAUAUAAUUAUAAUACUAUACCCUAGAAGCAUCUAAAUGUUUCAAAGCACAAAUACAGUACAUUAAUCAUAGUAUUGUAUUUGGUUUAGUAAAUUUAAUGAUGUAUUAGUUGACCUGCAUGUCUUUGUCUUUGAUCUCUUUGUAUAGCUGUAAUCACUUUGGUGAACUGCUGGAGUGUGAAGUUAGCUGCACAAGUACAAGUGUUCUUUACGGCUGCAAAACUUCUUGCACUUGCUUUGAUAAUCAUAACUGGCAUUGUCCGACUUUGCCAAGGUACUUCUAGUCUGUUUCUAGCAGUAAUUUUCACAGCUUAACCUGAAUUUCCACCGAAUUCGCUGUCGAAACUUUUCGCUCAAUUUCUUUUGAAUUGUGAGCGUAACUGAUUCAUUCAGAUGGUUACAAUUCAAAAGAUAUCAAGCACGACGAAAUAUUUCUUUGUAAGAUCGGUGACGCUUUUAAUUUGGUCAUUUUUUGCACCCCCGCGUGCGCUAUGCCUAUAUACGUUCGGUAAUACACCCCAUGCAAAAAUACCGGUGACGCCAAUGAUCAUAAAUUUGAAUCAGUUUGGAUAUACUUUAUUUAUUUAUACCGCUAUAACAGUCAUAUAUACAUCUAGUAAUAUUAAAUUAAUAUUCCGCUACUCCCAAAAUUCCCAUUCAGGGGCUCUUUCAUUCAGGGGCUCUUUCCUCUGCACUAAACACCCGGAAUCCCAGAUUCCAGUGCAGUAAAAUGUCUAUUGCAUUGGUCUAGGUUACACCACAGAACUAGAUGGUGCAAACUCAUUUUCCGGCACAGCCACCGUUAGUGAAAUUGGAUUAAUUGGACAAGCAUUUUACAAUGGUCUUUGGGCGUACGAUGGCUGGAAUAACCUUAACGUCGUCUCCGAAGAAGUGCACAAUCCCAACAAGUAUGCGAUCAAAUUGUUAUUAUGAAUGAUAUGUUUAUCUGUUGAUGUUUACAGAUGUUGCAUAAUUAUGUAUUUGUAUUUCCAGUGAUGUAAGUACUCGUUACUAAAGUAACGCGUUACUAAUUACUAAUUACUUUUUGGGUAAUUUUUCGUUAAUUAAUUACUUUUUGCACGAAACUAAUUUGAAACGUAAUCAAUUACUUUUUGAAGGUAACGAGUAACAUUAUAAAAAAGUAAUUUGCGUUACUUUUGGGCACUUUUAUUAUUUUCCAAAAACACGAUGAUGACGAUUAAUUUUUCAAGUCAAAGAAGAAGACAACCAAAUCGCCUUUGGAUACCUACUUGGCUUCAAACAUUAUUGAUGCCACAGUUUACAAUGGACAAUGUACUGCACCUUUGAAGCAAAUGACUUUGAAGCUGAACACCGUUUUGCCUGCAAGUGCAGCUGUUGAACGUCUUUUCAGCUGUGGAGGCUUGAUCAUGCGCCCGCACCGAAAUCGGUUAACUGAUGACCAUUUUGAGUCGGCACUACUUUUAAAGCUGAACUCCAAAUUUAAUACUGUUGCAUGCAUAAGUCUUAACUCUUAACUUUGGAACUGCCUUUUCAAUUAACCUUUUUAUUGUUGUUUAAGUCCAUGAGAACUUGAAAGUAAUUUCAAAGUAAUUAGUAAUUAAUUACUUUUUAAAAAAGUAAUUAGUAAUCGGUAAUUAAUUACAUUUGAAAGACAGUAAUAAGUAAUUAGUAAUAAUUACUUUUUUGGAGAAGUAAUUGUAAUUUUACUCGUUACUUUUUUUUGGUAAUUUUCACAUCACUGUGUAUUUCAGCAAUUCUCACAUUAUCAUGACCGCAUGUACACACGUAAAAAUCUCACAACUUGUUGACGGAACUUGUGGCAAGCUUGUUGACAAAUUGUAACAAGCUUGUUAUUUUAUACUAAAACUGUCUGUACCAGUGUAGGUAGUACCAACUACCUACACUGGUACAAAGGGCGAAGGGCCUUCGCUCGAAACGUCGAGUUUCUGCUUAUUUUUUAAGAUAGUAAUAUAACCACUCAGCACAGCAUUUUGUUAUUUUAUAUCAACUUGUAACAAACUUGUUGGCAUCAAGCCUGUUACAACCUGUUGGUCUGCAGACUUGUAGCAAGUUGUUUGAACAAUUUGUAACAAGUCUGUUGAGCUCAACAACCUUGUGGCAACUUGUCAACAAGCUGGUUGCUGUUGAAGUGCGAACACAUCUUGUUCACAAGUUGUCUGCUGCAGGUUUGUUACAACUCCAAUACGUGUGAACUACGCUGCUGGCAGUGGUUUCUGAGCUGAGCUUCGGUGACGACAUUUAUCUCUGUCAAUGUGAAUGUCAAAAUCAACUUGUUUGUUAACUGUUUAUAUAUUAAAUUAUUGUGUAGAAAUAUCCCAAGAGCUAUCGGUAUUGGUAUUCCGUUGGUGACAAUUGUUUACUUGUUGACCAACAUUGCAUAUUUUGCUGUUUUGUCUAAAGAAGAAAUUAUUGAAGGUGGUGCCGUCGCAGUGGUGAGUGUUGUGUUGGUAUAUAUAGCUGCUGUAUUUCAAUAAUUCAUUUCAUUAUAUGUAGUAGACAUGUCAUGACAUAGUCUUGUAUUUGAAGGUAAAUAAAUAGAAUUGAGAAAUGUAGUGUAAUUUUCAUGCUCCCAUGUAAAAAAUCCAUUUUGUCUUCGAACAAAAUUAUUUUUGUAAACAUUCUAACUGGUUCAUUCUCUCUUAGCUUUUUGCCAACAAAAUGUUUGGUGUGAUGGCUUGGAUUAUUCCUGUGUUUGUUGCUUUUUCAACAUUCGGUGCUGCUAAUGGUUCAGCCUUAUCCAGUGGACGGUACAGCUACACUUGAUUAUAUUUAACUUUGAACUAGCGAGAGAUUAAAUUCAAUUGUUACUCCCAUUUGUGUUGAAUUACUACUGAGUGUAUUUCAUUCUAUAGUGUGUUUUAUGCUGCAUCCAAAAAUGGUGAACUUCCUAAAUUCAUGGCAAUGAUUCACAACUCUCGUUACACUCCUGUUCCUUCAAUUAUUGUGCCCGUGAGUUUUGAGAGAAAACUAAGUUAAUGGAUAAAAAUAGAUGAAAAGAAACACAGGAAUAAUAACUCAAAGAUGGAAAAAUACACAGGAGCUAAGACAUAUAGCUUCCAAGCUAGCUUUGGGCAACACAAUUUGUGCCAGGAAACUUCAAAGAAAUGCUCAUAAUUUAAUUAUACACGUUUAUGUUUUCUAGAGUGUUAUUGCGAUCCUUAUGUUGAUUCCUGAAUCUUCGAGUUUCAGUACUCUGAUUGAUUACUUCACAUUUGCAUCCUGGAUUUUCUAUGGCGCUACUAUUGUUGGCUUGUUAUACAUGAGAUUCUCCAAACCUAAUGCUGAACGACCUUUUAAAGUUAGUAAAUCUUCAGACUUUUUCCCAGUUGAUUAAUUCAUUCAUUAACAAUCAAAAACAGUCAAAAUAUCUCAGAAAAAAAUACAGGCAUUCUCCGCUCCGGUGAGUCGAGUGUUGGUCUUUUUGGUCCAGGAAACCGGAGUACCCGACGAAACCCUGCGGUGUUGUGACUGAGGUGAAAUUAUAACCAGGCAAGUCCAAGAAUCAAACCACCGUCACAAGGUACAAGCAGAAAGGUACAAGCAGUAACGACAUGAUGCUAACCGAAUUUUACUUCUCAAACAUGUUCCAUAAACGUAGUACUACAAUUAUUAAAAUCAGGAUUUGGGACAUAUAAACUCGAUAAUAAUGUAGGAGAGUUUUGUAUAUGGAAAUUUCGAGGGUGAAUUUUUAUACAUUUUUAAACCUAACCAAAGUUUAUUGUAACACGAGGAGUCCAGAAAUAUUGUUUUAUAUUUUCAGGUAUUUUUAGUUUUCCCUGUGAUCGCUGUUCUUGCUGCACUUUAUUUGAUCAUCGCUCCAUUCUCCCAGAAUCCUCUUCCUUCAUUCUUCUGUCUUUUGUUCAUUCUUGCUGGGAUUCCCGUUUACUUCAUUUUCAUUUAUUACGAAUUGAUUCCAGCAUGGUUGGAUAAAUGGAUUGGUAAGAUAUCGAUAUGUUUUCAUUUGUCAUAAGGUUCGCAGUAGCAAUAAUAUGAAUUGGUCUGGGUAUUAUGUUAUAUAUACAACUCACAUGAGCGGCCGUGUUCCGCGCUCGGCCGAGAGGCCCUGGGAACGAGGAUGUAUCAGAUAUACAAGCUCGAGCCGAACGCGAGAGGCUGUAUGAAUAGAGAGGUUAAGAUACCCGGUUUCGGUGUACGUGUUCGGUAAGCACGAUUUUGGUUAGCAAUAUUUUCGUCGAUGUCUGUACCUUUACUCGUAAUUAAGAAGCACAUUUUUCGCAUUAUAUCAUUGUCUUUGCAAGAAAACAGAAAAAGUAUGAUCGAAUUACAGACAUCAGUAAAACAAAAUGACACUACUCGUACCCGUACACCGAAACCAGGGUAUCUUAACCUCUCUUAUAUGUCUGACACAACACGGUUACUAGUGGAUUUCGAGUAUUAAUGAGUUUUACAAAGAUAUCACUGACAAACAUGGCAAACAUGAGACAAAGCACAUCACAAACUAUGGAAUAGACUUGAAUAUAAUUUUUUUUUGUCCCCAGGCGUAGGCCUUGCUAAAAAGACUCUUUCAAAAUUUUCUGUUUGUAUUUUCAGAACGGUUCACGUUUUGGCUGCAGAAAUUUGCUGAUAUUUCGUACCCAGAGUCCGCUGAAGAUAUCAUCACAGGCUGAACAAAAUUCUCUAGUUUCAUAUUCUCAUACAAAACACAUUUGCCAGCUGUAGAAAAUUUAAAAAAACAUUUAGUAUUGCAGAUUCCACUCGAAAGUGGAGUAGUUUUUGUCUAACUGUCUUAAGGACUUUAGCUUAAAACGUGGGACGAAUUAUGAAUUUCUUUAGGACACAGGCUGGUUGGCCUGAGUCACAGAGUCAUGUUAGUAAAAAGUUUAAUAAAACUUUUGUCCUGUAAAUGUAAUAUUUGAAGUUAGGUAGAGUUUAUGUAACUAGGUGAUAUGUUCCGUCCGUUCUUGGAAUGUAAAUUGUUCGUCUGUGGGAAGGAAACCAAGGGUUACCGCAAUUAGUUUAUUUUAUAAUCCUGUAACAAAUGUUGAGCCUUGAGGUCUCAUUAUGUUUUCUGUAGAUUGUCUAUUUAUGUCUAAUUUGUGUCUGUGGAAUCUAGUGAUAUUUAAAAUUGAAAUAAAAUGACGUGG